rnacentral:rRNA from 1 species
GGCGGCCUUAGCGCGGUGGUCCCACCUGACCCCAUGCCGAACUCAGAAGUGAAACGCCGUAGCGCCGAUGGUAGUGUGGGGUCUCCCCAUGCGAGAGUAGGGAACUGCCAGGA